AACGAACGCUGGCGGCAUGCCUAACACAUGCAAGUCGAACGAGACCUCCGGGUCUAGUGGCGCACGGGUGCGUAACGCGUGGGAACCUGCCCUUAGGGUCGGAAUAACUCUCCGAAAGGGGUGCUAAUACCGGACAAUGUCUUCGGACCAAAGAUUUAUUGCCCUUGGAUGGGCCCUCGUUGGAUUAGCUGGUGGGUAGGGUAAAAGCCUACCAAGGCGACGAUCCAUAGCUGGUUUGAGAGACUGGUCAGCCACACUGAGACUGAGACACGGCCCAGACUCCUACGGGAGGCAGCAGUGGGGAAUAUUGGACAACGGGCGAAAGCAUGAUCGAGCAAUGCCGCGUGAGUGAUGAAGGCCUUAGAGUUGUAAAGCUCUUUUAACCGGGAUGAUAAUGACAGUACCGGGAGAAUAAGCUCCGGCUAACUCCGUG
rnacentral:rRNA from 1 species